rnacentral:snRNA from 1 species
GUCCUGUGGUAAAUUUUAGGAUUU